CUGGUUGAUCCUGCCAGUAGUUAUACGCUUGUUUCAAGGAUUAAGCCAUGCAUGUUCAAGUAUAAGUUGUUAUACAACGAAACUGCGAAUAGCUCAUUAUAUCGGUUAUAAUUUAGUUGAUGGUCAAUUACUAUACGGACAACCAUGGUAAUUCUGGAGCCAAUACGUGCGAAAGACCCAACUUUUUGGAAGGGUUGUACUUGUUGGAAUAAGAACCAAUCCCUUCGGGGUCUUCUGGUGAUUCACGACAAUUUAACGGAUCGAGGUAACUCGACAGUUCAAGCAAGUUUCCGACCUAUCAGCUUGUGAUGGUAGGGUAUUGGCCUACCAUGGCGUUGACGGGUAACGGGGAAUUAGGGUUCGAUUCCGGAAAGGGAGCCUGAAAGACGGCUACCACAUCUAAGGAUGGCAGCAGGCGCGAAAAUUACCCAAUCCUGACAUAGGGAGGUAAUGACAAGAAAUAGCGCCGCAGGGCGUUAGCUUUGCGACUGAAAUGGGCAGAAUUUAAAGUUGUCUGCGAGGAUCUAUUGGAGGGCAAAGUCUGGC
rnacentral:rRNA from 1 species